rnacentral:rRNA from 1 species
UGGGUUGUAAACUGCUUUUAUACGGGAAGAAACACUCCUACGUGUAGGAAUUUGACGGUACCGUAAGAAUAAGCAUCGGCUAACUCCGUGCCAGCAGCCGCGGUAAUACGGAGGAUGCAAGCGUUAUCCGGAAUCAUUGGGUUUAAAGGGUCCGUAGGCGGGCAGUUAAGUCAGGGGUGAAAGUUUGCGGCUCAACCGUAAAAUUGCCUCUGAUACUGAUUGUCUUGAAUUAUUAUGAAGUGGUUAGAAUGAGUAGUGUAGCGGUGAAAUGCAUAGAUAUUACUCAGAAUACCGAUUGCGAAGGCAGAUCACUAAUAAUAUAUUGACGCUGAUGGACGAAAGCGUGGGGAGCGAACAGGAUUAGAUACCCUGGUAGUCCACGCCGUAAACGAUGGAUACUAGCUGUUCGGACUUCGGUCUGAGUGGCCAAGCGAAAGUGAUAAGUAUCCCACCUGGGGAGUACGUUCGCAAGAAUGAAACU